ACGAAGGCGGUCGCAUAUUGCACCGGUCGCAAAAAUAAACGUCAACACUAAUAUUGUAUUGGAAAACCGCGGUACAUGACGACGGCACAUAGUUUGUUGUAGAAACACAGUCGCGAUAUUCGCGGUACUAACGCGCCCGCGUUCGGUAUACGUUUUUAUCGCGUUCGUCGUAAAUUCUUCGCACACGAAAAUAAUAAUUGGGUACCAAAUACGUGUUACAUUUACGCGUCUUGUUUAAAAUACCUGUAUUAUAAUGUGGUGACAAACUGUAAAGCUUAACCUAUAU